GAGUUGGGAGAGGGAGGGCUUGCGGACCCCCUCCCCCCAUCUCUAGCCUUCGCUGCGCUAGAUCCCGCGUCCCCGCCGUGGUCCGGAGCUCCUUGCCCAGAAAGCGGGCUCUGGGGAGGUGCUUGUCACCUGACCCGUCCGGCGCUGCCCCAGGCCUCUGUGACUCUCCUGUAGCGGGUCUGGCCUAAGAGUAGAUGUCCCAGGGUGGGGGCCUGUUGCCAGGACUGUGGGUCUUCGAUGCCCCUUGCCCUUGACGGCAGGACAUGAUGAAGUCCCGUGGUGGGGGGUUCGGGGCUGAACCUACUGCCUGGUGGAGUUGGGGCGGCCUGUGUCCUCCAGUCGUGGGAUUUGUUGCUCAGUUACCGUGCACCCCAGGCCGGUAGAAUGACCCCUUUCUUCCCUGAGGAAGAAGUGUAUUGAGAGUCUUAUUAAACUAGGAUUGCCUCCUGCCAGGCCCAUUCCGAGUGGGUCUUCGAUUGCUCUUCCCCGCCCCCCUCUGAUGGGGUCCCCUAUGUUUCCCUCUUUGUUUCAAUUGUCUAAGUGUCCCCACCGAGCCUCAGGCCCAGCCUAGUGGCCAGAUGGUUUUCUGUAGCGACUUUUUGGCCCUGGGGAUACUCCAAAGGGGCAAGGGAACUGCAGCGACUGAGUCUUGUCGGAGGUUGGGUCCAGGUUAGCCUGGAGACAGUCUCUAGGUCUCUGGGCACAUGGGAGAGUGUGUCUAACAUGGCGGCGGCUGCGGGGAGAGGGAAGCGCUGUACAGGAGCUGCAUUGUGAGCACAAAGCGAAAGCAGCGGGGGAGGGCAGAGACCAGGCAGCCGCCCGACCAGCCUCCCUCGACCCCCCCCAUCAAGCCACACCCACUUUUUUUUUUUUUUGAUUGAAUGUUUAGCCAUUCUGAGUCGCAGGGUGAGAAAUACAUGUUCACGUCGGCCUUUUGUUUUCGCUUUCAGCCAGGACGGUGCGCAACUCUGUUUAGAUAGGGGCUCGUGUUUGUGGUCCGAAAGGGUCUGAGUAAAUAAUUCAAACCCAAGAUGAACGAUGAAAAGGGAGAAAACAAAUGAUUAGUACCAAAAAUGGGACAAUUACAUGUGACUUAUGUAUGCUAACUCGCUUCCUUAAAAAGUAAAAUAUAACUUUGCUUUGGCAACUUCUGGUUGUCCACCUUUAGUAUAACAUAACAUCGUGGAUUUUGAAAAAAAUCAUACUAAAAUGUUUAUUUAGCCAGCCACCUGAUAUUGUUACUUCAAGUUUUGAGAUAGCAACAAUUUGACUAAAAUUUGGCCUGUGGGAAAUGAGUGGGGGGAAAAAAACUGGUGAUAUUUAGGUCUUAAUGAAUUUAAUAGAUGAUUUACUAAUUUAUUUUACAUUUUUGGAGAGUUUUAGAACCGUUAAGCCUUAAUACUUUUCUGUCUCAUUUUCUUCAAUAUUGAGGGGUGGAGAUUUUACUUGAAUUUCCUGGACUUUGCAUUUCCUGGACUCAUGAAAUUGAGAGAUGCCUUAAUCUUGAGAUUUCUAGUUUUUUUCCAUAAUCCUUUCUUUGAUACAAGUGUGUUUCAUUGUAACUAAUGGAAUAAUAGACAUUAAAAAAGUAACAAACAUUUUAAGCAUAAAAUAGGUACAUUCAAGUAUGGAAUGGAGUAAGCUUGCCUUAUAACUAGUAUCUUCUAGCCUGCACAUGUGAUUUGGUUUUUGCAACUCUACUUGAAAUUGAAACUAACUUAGGUAUCUUUCAGUCCUCUUAAUGCAGUAAACAGUGCUGUCAAUCUCUGUGAUUGUUUUACUUUUCAGAAUUUCUAGGAAAUCUAGAAUAGGAAUCAGCCUAAGUAUGUAAUGAUAUAUUUUAUAGAUGUUUAUAUUAGUGACUAAAAAACUUUUCAAAGGUGAUCAUAUAAAAAGUCAGGUGCUGGUGAGCAGCCAGUCUGUGAGGUGACACAUUCUAGGGUUUAUGUGUAUGUGGGGGGAAAAAAAAAAGAAAUCUAGAAAAUUGAAUAAGUCCCGUGAGAGGACUUGAACUAUAAUUUGCCAGUGGUGUAUACAUGUGUAUUACUAUACAGUGACAUCCUUUUCUCCUAAAUUAGAGAAAGAGUAAUUAUUUAUUAUUACAGAGUUUUAUUGACUGGGCUAGUAAAUACUGAAAGGUUGUCUUGUAACAUGGAGAUUUAACAAACUGAACAAAAAUAGUAUUAUAAUUUUUUGUCUUAGUGUUGUGAGUGCUAAUUAGAGAAAAGGUCAAGUUACACUUAGGUGAGGCUUUUUGAUAAGCCACAUACUGAGCUGCCUACUUGUUAAAUAGUUGACAGCACUGAUGUGGUUUAAAACUAUGUAUUUUACUUUUGGGGAAUUUCAAGACAUUUAGAUUUUAACCUGUAUUUAGGUUUUCAGUUUUAAUUUUUUUUUUCUGUAACUAGAUGUUUGCUGUAUGAGAGGAUUUAAUAACUGAUUCACUUUUCAACAGGAGUGAGCAUUUCUCACGCACCUAAAAUAGGAUUUGCUUUACACAUCAGUUUUGAAUUCUUUUUAGUACCCCUUGUGGAGUAAAGAUAACUCUUCAACUGAAUUUGUAUUUACUUCAGUGAAUUUAGCAAUUUAUAUUUGAACUGUAUUUGAUUCUUAACCUAUUCACGUUGGAACCUUGUGGACCAAAUGCUCUUUUUCACUGGAUUGUAAAACCAAGUAUCCCAACAUAAAUUGGGAAUAGAUGUGUAAUAUCACUUUAAAACAUAAUUGUAUUUCAUAUAAAAAGCAAAGUUACUGUUCUUUUUCUAAUAACUUGAGACAUUAGAGGAAGGGAGUGCAUCUGUUCAGUGAGAAUAUAUGCUUAACAUUGAUGAAAUAUGAUCCUAUUAUGUAAUGCAACUAGAUGGCUUGGUGGUUUUUGAAAUUUGGGCUAAUAGCUGUUGCUGCUGCUGCUUCUUCUACAUCUUCCUCCUCCUCCUCCUCCUCCUCCUCCUCUUCCUCCUCUUCCUCCUCUUCCUCUUCCUCCUCCUUCCUGCUUUGCUGUCUCCUGCCUGCUUGCCAUGGACUGUUGCUUCUCUCUGAUGACCCUGUGCCCUGUCAUUAUGCCUUUGAGCCAGCCAACUAUGGACUGAAACCUCUACAAAUUAUAAACUGAAAUAAACCUUUCCUCCUUUAAAAAAAAAAAAAAAAAAGAAAUUUGGGCUAAUAAAGAAUACAUAAGUGUUUAUCAAAGAGAAGACAUACAGCUAUGAUAAAGAAUCAAAUGUAAAACUUCAUUUGCAAAUCUUUAUUAAAGUACAAGUAAUAUUGAAUUGAGUGAUUUUACUUCCUGGUUUAUUCAGUUCACUCAUACAUAACUGGGCCAUAGGCUAUGUAAGAUGGUGAUAUGAAACCAAGUCUUUAAUUUUAACUGAGGAGAGAGCUCAUCUGAUACUGUUAGAUGUAAUCAGUUUUGAUGUAGAAUAAAGAAUGUUUUAAUAGAUGACAUUUUAAAUUGAUAUACUCUUGGUGUAAGUAUAAUAGAUUUAGACUGUAGUGACUUUGGUAGGUGAAAGAUUAACCAGUGUUCUCUUGCUUAGAAAAAUAAAACCCCCUGGCAGCUUUGUACCCAGUAUGUAACCAAAACUGAUAGCCAAAAGUGUAGUGUUCCACUCCCUAAAGACAUAUCUUUGCAGUUAAUAUUAUCCAUAGAAAGGAUGCAAAUUGUGAUUGAGGAUAACAUUUUUCUAGAAUAUUGCAGUGUGCCUAUACUUAGAGUUUUUAUGCAGCUGUAGUACAGAAUUUAUAUUAAGUACUUAGAAAUAAGCCCAUCCUAAACUUUUUUUUUUUAUCCUGUUUUAUAAGUAGAAUGUGUUCUUGGGUUAACAUCUGAAGUUUUUCUUGACAUUUGGGAUUCUGAUGUGUUAGCUUUUCUAUUGGUUGCAAGAUGUAUUAUUCCUCUGCAAUGCAGAGGGCAAGGUUACUUGGUUUUGCAUUCACCUUGUCUCAGAAAGCUGUAGUGCUUAGCAUGAGGGCAGGGUUAUUUUAUUUUGCAUUCACUUUGCCAGAGGAAAAAAAAGUUAAAAUACUUAAUUUGUUUCUGGUUGUGAGUGUGUGUGUGUGUGUGUGUGUGUGAGACAGAGGUAUUUGAAAAAGUUAGGCUAUGAAUGUCUUCAUAGGACAGUAUUGGUACUUCUUCUGGAGUGAGAGUGGAAUCCUAAAUAUUGCAAUGAGAAGGGUUUUUUUGUUGUUGUUUUUGUUGUUUUUUAAGGCAGGGUCCAGUGCUGUAUGUAGCUCAGGCUGGCUUAGAAUUUACUAUGUAGCCCAGGCUGGCCUUGAACUUUUCAAUCCUGCUGCCUGAGCCUCCCGAGUGCUGAGAUUACAGGCAUACACCACCACGCCUGGUGGGUUUUUUUAAUCUAGCCAAAUUAUUUUACUCUAGGAUAUUCUUGAUUUUUUUUUUUUUUUUUUUUUGGUACCAGGGAUUGAACCCCAGGGUCUCCUUUUUCUCACAAGGAAGUGCUCUACCACUUAGUGACCCCAAACCCCCACCCCAUCUUGUGGCAGAUCUCUGAAUGAGAACACAUUUUGUGUGAUUUACAGAUUAAAUGUACACUUUGCCAUGAUUUUAAGUUUAACAUUCUUAAUUUGUAUUUUGGGCUAGGUGAAGAUAGUACUUUCACUUUUUAAACAAGUGAACAAAUAUUUUUACUUUGAAAAGGUUAAACUUUACAACAGAUUUGUCAUGGCUUUAUUUUCUAUUACUAUACUGUUAAAAGCGUCUAACAUUUUUGUUAGAGCUUAAAGCCACCUUAGAAUUUUGUGUAAUUUGCUUUAUAGAAGAACUAGAAAUGGUUAUAUGAAGUGAGCCAGGUUGAGAUGGGUGAUUUCUAGGGUUGCUUUUUUUUUUUUCAUUAAGUUUAUUGGUACAUUUUAGGUAUACAGUACAGUUACAUUCACCAUUGGGAUCUUGUACCUUUACAUGAUGUAUCUUGGUUCUUUUUCCCCAUUCCCCUGCCCUCUCUAGGGGUUCUUGUAAUGCUUUAUGAGGGUCUCUUAUAAUGUUCUCCAAUUUUAGUUCUUAGGGUUAUUGUGUUGAUCCAGGUAAGCCCCAACUGCCUAUCUGCCAGUCUCUACUCAAGCUUGGCAUGUUGCAACCUGAAAAACUUUGGGAAAGCAUUAUUGGCAGAGAGAAGUAACGUGACAACCUUUCAACCUAAAUUCUUGGAUUCUAAGCUUCUCCUGGAUGUCUAGUAAUUGCUGCUUUUUUUCUGGGAGAAAUAAAUGAUAAUACUGGGGAUUGAACUCAGGAUCUUGCACUUGCAAGGCAGGCACAGUGCCAUCGAGCUAAAUCCCCAGCCCUUCACCUUGCAAUUUUGAGGACUACAUUUGGCCAAGGAACCAUGGUCUACCUUUUAAUAAUCCCCUCUUGCAGAUUUUUGAGGUUUUUAUGAGUUCUUCCCCACAAACCUAUUUUUUUGUGGUUCAGCAGUCCUCCCUUUAAAAAUCUUGGAUUUGAAAUUAUUAUGGAUUGGAAACUAGAAACAUGUUAACAAUAAUAAUAAAGUCAAAGUAAAUAGAUAUAUGAGUUCAAUAAAAUGUAUAGAUUGUA